CGAGUGCAUCCAUCUUUGAAAUUGUGCAAAUCAACAAAUCCUUUAAAAAUCGUGAUUUAAAAGGUAGACCCGUCGCUUUGCAACUUUUUAUCCUCGUUAACUUGUCGUGAUCUCGGCAUUGGGUUUUGGUUUUACAUAAUUUGAAUCAUGAAGUUGCUAACGAUUCAUGGAGGAGACUAACUUAGAUCAGACCAACGAAAUAGGCCAUAGCGAUGUCGGAAUCUAGUUUUGCACUGUUUAAUGAAGAAUCUUCUAUUACAGGAGGAAAAUCUGUGUCUGAGAUUGUUCAAAUUCUCCGAACAAAUGCAAGCUUAAAAUUGAAAGUUAGAGACUUGGAUGACCACGAAGAUGUGGAAGAAGUUCCUAACAGAACAAGCCAGAUCUUCCCAUGGAUAAAAAGGUUCACUGCCCAAUGCAAGGAUGUAAUCCUUGAUCCAAACAUAAGAAAGUUGGAUGAAUUGAUAUCUACCUUUUUUAGGCAUAUCGAUGACACAGCCAAACAGUGUUAUAAGAGGCCGAAACGUGCUUACAAACUGAAAACGAGAAUAUCCUCAUUCCUCCAGACUUUCAAUAUGAUAUACAACCAGCUGAAACAGCCAUUAGAACACACAUGCUACCUAGAAAAAAUGAGCGACGUCAUGGCAGUGUACAUUGACAUAGAACUGAAAUCUUCAAGGAGGGGAAGGGAACAUCCCAAGAAAAUAGCUGAAAGAAUUUGCACAUCUUUGUUCAUCUUCUUAGACAAAUCAAUAGAACAUAUAUUGGACACUGUUUUGAAAUCCAAAUUCUUCAUCAAGAAAUACAGCGAGAUUUGCUGCCCCAUAAUGGCGAGGGUAUUAAGAGAAAGACCAGGGAGGCUGUAUGAAGCCUCAUACAUUCGCUACAUCUUGUCUUUUAAGCUGUGGAAGAAGCUAGCAGGAAAGGAUCAUUAUGCCACAAUCAACAAAGAAGCUGUAACUAAGUUGACUCCUCCACCAGACUUUACUGAGAAACUAAAGACUGGUCUAUUCUCCAACGUUCUCCCCUAUGUCUCAAAAUCGGAAAAAGACAGAAUCACAUUGUUUUUCAUGCAAUCGCCCUUCAAUGUGAAGAAAAAAGCACAAGUAUUUCUAAAAGAGGAGAAAAAGAUGCAACCAAACUUGGACUUAGAAAGAAGCCUACUCUUUGAUGAUGACCUGCAAAUAAGCUUCUUAGACGAUGACAACGAUGAUUUAAACGAGCAGCCAGAUGAUGAUCUAAUGAAUGAUAUGUGGAACAAUCUGGUUGAUAAUGAAGAAGACUGUUUUGAUUCCUUACUAAUUCCUAUGGAUAUUAUCGAAACAAAAGAAGACGAGGAUAUUAUUGUCGAUUUAAAGAGGACCAAAGGAAAUGAAAAACCUAAGAAGACUCUAAAAGAUAGACCUACUAAUGGUGUAUUGAAAACUUCAUUAAAGAAGCGUAAAGUUACAAAACCAAACAAUAAUACCCUUAUGAAAAAUUUUUCUGGCAAGGAUGCAGUUAUGGAUUUUAUUAGAAAUGAUUUAACAAUUCCCAUAACUUCUGUAUCUACAAAAGAAGAUAAUCCAAUUGUUUCGUGUGUAAAAUCUGAAGAUUCUUUGGUGUCUUUUAUCAACAGUCCUGAAAUGAAGCAACCCAAACCCUGUGCCACAGUAGAACCAGAACAAUGUCGAGAAAUAACUGACAGCGUAAAAAAUUUCACAGAAGUUAGCCCAGUAAGAGCACCCCGAAACCCCACCAUCUCAAUGGCAGAGCCUAGCGGGCAAGAACCCACUGUGACAAAAGCAGGGGAAGAAAGUUGUGAAACUGAUGAUAAAGUAGAAUAUAUUGAAGCUAUACCAUCUACAACAGUCAGUUCAAAUCUAGAAGAUACCACAAUUGUUGAAAACUUUGUUGCUGAAGAAGUCGUAAUUGGAUCAGACAUUGAACAAGAUUCGGGAUGUUCUUUUCUGUUUCUUGACACAGACAGUAAAAUGGUACAAAAUGACAUUUUAAGUGUGAUUGGCAUUACUAAAGGUUCUACAUCUUUUUGUAAUGCUGAAAUUGUAGUGAAUGAAGAAUCAAUAAUGAAAGACGAUCGUCGACAAAUAGUUAUUGACAGCACUGUUCUUAAUGACUCCAAUGUUAUCAAAACUAAAGAAAAUGUAUCUGGGUCCCCUGAUAAUCAGUUUUUAUAUUCCAUUACACCGUCAACCGAAAGUUAUGUACCUUUCUCACGAAGACAGGACAGCUAUGCCUGCAAUGAUAUGUUCCUUCAAAGAUUAUUAUCUGAUCCAACCCCAGUUGACGAUGGAUCGGAUGAUGAUAGUCGAUAUCAAGAUCGCAGGAGGUUUGCUGGUGGCGGUAAACUACCAGCUUUCCGUGAGCAAACGGAAGAGUCAAAAUCAGAGAACGACGAAGAUUUUGAUGCAUUGACUCCCUCAAGUGAUUCUUUGCAACAAAGUCCUCUGGACACCUCAUUAGAGUCGACAAGGCUACAGCAAGAAGCCUUGGAAUCUACCCCACCCAGCCCUCGGGAUGUAGACCCUCAUCCUCAAGACAAGAAGGAAAAAACGUUAAACCAAGAGGAUCCAAAACUCAGUCAGAUGAAGGAGCUAACUAUUCCUUUAUCAAGAGGAGAAGUGUUAACUGCACAUGAUCAAGUUUGUGAUGUUUCCGAAGAUAAAAUUCGUCCUCCAGGUAUGUUAAUUAUCUUUGAUGAGAAAUCACACAACACUACAGAUAAAGAAUAUCAAAAUUAUAUAAAGCACCAAGUGAACCAGGAAACCUUUUAUAAAAAAGCUGAAAAUAUAUUAGAAACAAACCCUGUUCCGGACCCUCUGAAGGAUCUAUGCAUUGAAUGUUACCCAGACUACUCAGAUAGAUGUCAUUGUAGGUCUUGUGAGAGAUUGCUUCGUAAGAUAAAAAGGAACCAUAAGAAAAUUGUUAAAUUGCGAAAAGAAAGAAUAGUUGAGUGUGUGGACAAAAAAAACAAAAUAAACAUAGGCCUAACAGAUAUUAAAGACAUGGUUUCUAAGAUUUUGUAUUGUAAUGACCGAGAUGAAAGUAUGUUAAAAUCUAUUGGAGAUACUUUGCCAUCCUCUGAGAGUCUUAAUUUAGAAGAUAAAAUUGGAACAACAAUUAAAAGAAAAAAGGACAAGGAUGAAAGUAAUCAACUUCAAAUAACUGUUCCAACGAUUGACAAACCAGAAUCUGUUAAAUGUUCUGAAAAGAAAAAGGAGUAUGCAAGUCUCCCUCCUAAAAAAAGGAAAGCUUUUACAAUUGAAAAAUACUCCAACACAGAACAGGCCUGUCAAAAUGACAAAUUUGAUUGUUCAAGCAAAAGUACUGAGUCAAAAAGUUGUAAAGAGAAACUUGAAACCGGUUUUGCUAAUUCUCUCUUGAUGACUGACAUCACAAAAUCUUCCAGCCCUAGUGCUAUUGUAGGUUAUAACAGGUUUUCACCAGUUAAAAUCAAGGCAAUAGAUGGUAGAUAUUGUGUACUUAGUGAGUUCCCUUCAGAGUAUGGUGAGUCGGUAGUAGAAUCAGACUUACCGAGUGAACACAUUCCUAAAAGUCAAAGAAAGUGUAGUAGGAAGAAACGAAAACAUGAAAGGAAAGAAAAGAAAAGGUUAAAAAAAUUAAAGAAACUGGAGGAAGGCUUACAUAAUUAGUAUUUAUUUACUAGUUCCAAACAGUUACAUUUGUUACCUGAUAACCAUUAAGUCUUAUUUAACGUUUGUUUAGAUAGUUUUUUAUUUCUUUAAAAAUAAGACUGAAAUAGCAGAUGCAUCAUAAGAUUAAUCAUUUUUUAAACUUACAAUACGUAAUUGUUGACUGACUAAAAUUAAGGUGUUGAUUUGAUUCUAGCUGCAAUUUCUAAUCAUGUGCCUUCCUAUUAGCAGCUUGUAAAUGGUUGAACUUAUGUUAUUAAGAAAUGUUGAAAUUAAAAUGCUUGCACUUCAAGAGGAAUGAAAAACAAAGUCAAAGUGGUGAUAACAAGUUACCAUGAACAUGGGAGUCUGAAGUAGGGGUCAAAUUGUGCACUAUGUACAGUAUUUCAAAAGCUGCAACUUACCUUCAACUUCCCUUUUCAUCCAAAAUUACAAAACAAAUUUAAAAAAAAUUAUUUUAAAAUUAUAAAUGGUAAUAUUUUUCUUGAAUUGAAAAGUCUACAUACUUAAAGUUUUAAAGGACGAAUAAUUUUGAUUCAACACAAUUAAAAAAAACUACUUAGUAGCAUUAACUUUUCAAAUACGCCUCUUUAAAAGCUAGUCAGUUGUGUAACUUUAACUUUUUAAACAUCCAAAGAUAUACUAAUGUAUUUAACAUAAUAAAACACAAGAUGUUGAAAUAUGGUGUGAAAAUGUCAUAAUGCAGCCCAAUACACCAAGGAGGUCAUCAGGAAGUCAUCAUAUGCAAGAAAACUGGAUAAAUUGUUGGAUUCAAUUUGAAAGAAAUUGAAGACUAUGAUCAUUGAACAUGAAUGAAACCCCCCUGUUUGAGAGGAUUCAUUACUUACUUUUUCUUUUGACACAUCUUAAUUAUAACUGGCAACUAUAUGCUUAUUAUUAUUCAUUAUUCAUUAAUUAUUAAUUAUUAUUCAUGGUUUGCGGUGUGAUAUGGUUUUCAAUACAUAGGCUUUCUCAGUUGUUGGACACACAAGAGGAUUCACAAAGGAUAAUACUGUUUAUUUAAAACUAAUUAUUUUAGCACCAUUUCAAUAGGAAACUCUAAACAUGUUGAACAAGGCAUGACAUUUUCUUAUAUAUCGAUCAUUAUUAAACAUUGAACCAAACUUUCCAAAGCUCAACACUAUGCUAAUAAUUUUGAACGAUCUUAAAAUUUGUCAUAACUAUAACUAUGCCUUCACCAGAUAUUUUUGUUUUUGAAUAUAAUAAAAAUUCAUAAAAAUGGUUUUUGGUCAAAAAGCUCAAAAACACAAAACUCCUCAAAUAAUUGGCAACUUAGAAAAUUACAAUUUUUAAAACUUUGGCUGUAUAAUCAAUUUACACUUAAAAAUGAAUCCAAGACAACUCGCCGAAGACAACAUAAGAGAUCUCCACGUCCUUCUGACAAUCUUCUCUGUAUGAGUUAUAAAUUCAUGAUGUGUGGUGGCUUUCAAUGAAGAACUACAAGAAGAGGAGCUAUUUAAGUAUUGAAUUUGUAGAAUGAAGCAUAAGUUGAAUUACCCAGUUUAAAUACUCGUAAUUCUAAAUGUAAUUGUUAUAUAAAGAAAGUCACGUUUUAGUUUGUUAUUAUUAAUUUAUACAUUUUGAGAGUUGUGAUAACAUUGCCUUAUACUGAAAAUUGAUAUAAUUGCUCAAGAACUUAUUGUUUUCAAUGCUAAAGUCUAAUAAAGUUAAUCUCUAAGUAACACUGUUAAAGAAAAGCCAAAUUUUAUUUUAAAAAUAAUAUGUUAGAGAACUCACUGCGGAUAUCUCAUAAAGGCAAACGCAGCUCCAGUCGAUAUUCCUCCAGUCGUCAUGGGAAGAAGAAAGUAGCAACUACUACCAUUGAAGAGUUGCCUGGUUCAGAUGAUGAGCCUUUAUUUAACCUGG